rnacentral:rRNA from 1 species
UACAGAGGGUGCAAGCGUGUUCGGAUUGAUUGGUGCGUAAAGCGCACGUAGGCGGCUUUGUAAGUUAGAGGUGAAAGCCCGGGGCUCAACCCCGGAACUGCCUUUAAGACUGCAUCGCUUGAAUCCGGGAGAGGUGAGUGGAAUUCCGAGUGUAGAGGUGAAAUUCGUAGAUAUUCGGAAGAACACCAGUGGCGAAGGCGGCUCACUGGACCGGUAUUGACGCUGAUGUGCGAAAGCGUGGGGAGCAAACAGG